rnacentral:rRNA from 1 species
UACGUAGGGUGCGAGCGUUGUCCGGAAUUAUUGGGCGUAAAGAGCUCGUAGGCGGUGUGUCACGUCGGCCGUGAAAACCUGCAGCUUAACUGUGGGCGUGCGGUCGAUACGGGCAUCACUGGAGUUCGGUAGGGGAGACUGGAAUUCCUGGUGUAGCGGUGAAAUGCGCAGAUAUCAGGAGGAACACUGGUGGCGAAGGCGGGUCUCUGGGCAACAACUGACGCUGAGGAGCGAAAGCGUGGGGAGCGAACAGG